AAUGCAGGUCCUCCUAAUCAUGGGUUAGCUUUUUAAUUUCUCAAUCACUAGAGGACAAUUUCAAGGGACAAGUCUUGUUAAGGUGGCUGCAUGAACAUCUGGAUGAUACACUACAUGAGAAAAUUAUAUUUGUUCAUCCAGGAAUGGUGUCCAAGGUUGGAACAAUAGCCCCACAAUUUGAAAAAAGAGCAAGGUUCAUUGUUGAUCGCCUAAUUGACUCCAAAUUGGCAGAUUUGAUUUUUCUUCCGUAUAACCCAAGGUUUCAUUGGGUUUUGGCUGUAAUUGACCUCAAAUCACAAAUAGUCUACUAUUUAGACUCACUAUUACAAUAGCCAUACCAAGAUAUAAAAGAUAUUGUGAACAUGGGGUUUCGAAUUUUUGUAUCUCAAAAGAAGAAAGGAUCUAAAAAAGAGCUCAAGUGGAUAGUUAUCGAGGUUAC